CCAGACUCCUACGGGAGGCAGCAGUGGGGAAUAUUGCACAAUGGGGGAAACCCUGAUGCAGCAACGCCGCGUGAGUGAAGAAGUAUUUCGGUAUGUAAAGCUCUAUCAGCAGGGAAGAAGAUGACGGUACCUGAUUAGGAAGCCCCGGCUAACUACGUGCCAGCAGCCGCGGUAAUACGCAGGGGGCAAGCGUUAUCCGGAUUUACUGGGUGUAAAGGGAGCGCAGACGGCAGUGCAAGUCUGGAGUGAAAGCCCGGGGCCCAACCCCGGGACUGCUCUUGGAACUGCGUGGCUGGAGUGCAGGAGGGGCAGGCGGAAUUCCUGGUGUAGCGGUGAAGUGCGUAGAUAUCAGGAGGAACACCGGCGGCGAAGGCGGCCUGCUGGACCGUGACUGACGUUGAGGCUCGAGAGCGUGGGGAGCAAACAGGAUUAGAUACCCCGGUACC
rnacentral:rRNA from 1 species